UACGGAGGGUGCAAACGUUGCUCGGAAUCAUUGGGCGUAAAGUCGCACGUAGGCGGCGCGUUAAGUCGGAUGUGAAAGCCCCGGGCUCAACCCGGGAAGUGCAUACGAAACUGGCGCGCUUGAAUAUGGAAGAGGGUCGCGGAAUUCCCGGUGUAGAGGUGAAAUUCGUAGAUAUCGGGAGGAACACCAGUGGCGAAGGCGGCGACCUGGGCCAAUAUUGACGCUGAGGUGCGAAAGCGUGGGAGCAAACAGG
rnacentral:rRNA from 1 species